GACGAACGCUGGCGGCGUGCUUAACACAUGCAAGUCGAACGGAAAGGCCCUGCUCUUGUGGGGUGCUCGAGUGGCGAACGGGUGAGUAACACGCGAGUAACCUGCCCUUGACUUUGGGAUAACUUCAGGAAACUGGGGCUAAUACCGGAUAGGAGCUCCUGCAGCAUGGUGGGGGUUGGAAAGAUUCGGCGGUUGGGGCUGGACUCGCGGCUUAUCAGCUUGUUGGUGGGGUAGUGGCUUACCAAGGCUUUGACGGGUAGCCUGCCUGAGAGGGUGACCGGCCACAAUGGGACUGAGAUACGGCCCAGACGCCUACGGGAGGCAGAAGUGGGGAAUCUUGCGCAAUGGGCGGAAGCCUGAUGCAGCAACGCCGCGUGCGGGAUGACGGCCUUCGGGUUGUAAACCGCUUUCGCCUGUGACGAAGCGUGAGUGACGGUAAUGGGUAAAGAAGCACCGGCUAACUACGUG
rnacentral:rRNA from 1 species